ensembl:lncRNA
CUCAAUGUUUUUGUUGUUAAACAACCAACCCGUCUAUAUUUCUAGUUAUAUUUCUAUGGAAGCCAAAUGAUUUAGAGUAUAACUGAUAUUGUUUUGUUGUUUCUUAGCCUGCAUGUGCAUCGUGCUGACUGGUAAUCUCCAUCUCCACCUGAUGGUCAAACACGGUCAUGGUAGAGAGGCUAUUCACCAUCAGGCAGGAAGAGUCCUCCGACUGGCCUGGGACUUUCCCAAGUGUUCUUUCACUGGACUUUGUCUAAAGAGGCGAGAACACAAAAUGCAUUGGAGAACCCCUGAGUUCCGCGGCCCUCUCGGCCCGGACAAAUGGGCUCAGGUACUCUUGGACGUCCUCCAUCCUCUGGCUGGGCCUUGCAUGGGUCAGACCCGGUGCUCCAUGUCCACCAGGAUACCAAAAGUUCAAACAGUGUGGCAUUGCCACACGGAGCGUUCAGACAUGCUGCAAGGAGUUGCUGCCACCUCAGAUGGAUACGAUUCAUGAAGAUCUUGUCCUCCAGUCUGGCAUUCCUUUGGCUUUUUGAUUCAUAAUGUUAUCAGAGAGCUGCUGCAGCUCCACAAACAGUUUCUCCAGGAGGAGGUGAAUAAAGAGCUGAGAGUUGAGAGCCUUCAGGAGGGGCAGCCAGAAAUGCAGGACGACUCGAAGAAGGCCGGGAGCAGUGGGGUAGGCAUUUUCUUAAAAAACUAAGGCAUUCUUCUCUUAGUAAGGUAAGUGUGUAUGGCUUACACUAUUUUUGACAUGACCCCAGUAUUACUACAACAUCCAUUCAUCAAUAAAUUAAUCAUAGAAUUUACACAGAUUUAUUUUAACUUUAUUGGGGGAAAACAAACUAAUCCCAGUCUUACCUGAGGGGUCAACACCAAGUGACUCCAGCUGUACAAUGGUUGGAACCAUGACUCCAUCCUCCAUCAAUGCAUAUAUUUGUAUUUCACUAUGUGGGAAAAAGAUCAAUGAGGGCCUGGAGCUUUUCCAUUUCAAUACAAUUACUAUUUGUUAAAUACCUUCUGAUGCAGUUUGUCGAGUUGACAUAACCAUUACAAUACCAAUGGAUGUGUUAACUGACCCAGACUCUAGUGCAAAGUGCUUGAUCUGGGCAAGGAUCCAGCUCAUGUCUGCAGAGGGUGCUGGCCAUAAUCUCUUUGGUUUGUCUUCCUCUCGAAAUCUUUCAAACGUCUACACAACAAAAGAACAUAGCAAUGAUGACCAAACUCACAAUUCAUGUUCUGGGACCGAAUGUGUAGAUCAUAGAAUUGAAAAGAGAAGUAUAGUCUAUGAUUGCUUUGAGCCCUAUUGCGUCACAACCGAAAAACACACAUGCCACCUGUUUAUUGCACCCACCCUACCCCUCAACACAACUUAAUGGCAUCACAGUGAAUGGCUGGGAUGAGUACACAACCAUAUGCUAUAAAAUUACUCUACAGUAAUAACAAAAUGUCUCUCUUGAGAGGCCCUUGUGUAUAGAUGGGGUAGAGGAGAUGCUGUGACGACUAGAGAACAGACAGAACGUCAUGACCCUCUAUUAAUAUAGUAUAUUGAGUUGAGUGCACAAGUCUCACAAAUCAUAGGAAAAGUGUUCUGAUGUGGUUAUAAUUUAAUGAAAUUCUAUUGGUCACGUACACAUAUUUUGCAGAUGUUAUCAUGGGUGUAGUGAAAUGCUUAUGUUCUUAGCUCCUACGGUACAGUAAUACCAGGCUGAAUCACAUCCGGCUGUGAUUGGGAGUCCCAUAGGGCGGCGCACAAUUGGCCCAGCGUCGUCCGGGUUUAGCUGGGGUAGCCGUCAUUGUAAAUAAGAAUUUGUUCUUAACUGACUUGCCUAGUUAAAUAAAAUUAAAAUAAUACAAAAAUACAUACAAAUCCCAAAAAUAAAAAGAAAGGAAUAAAGAAAUACAGAAAUAUUAGAAUGAGAAAUGUCAGAAUCUGGAAUGUAAAUAUAGUGUGCCUUCAGAAAGUAUUCGUACCCCUUGACUUAUUCCACAAUUUUUGUGUACAGCCUGAAUUUAAAAUUGAUUAAAUAGAUUGUUUCUCACCCAUCUACACACAAUACCCCAUAAUGACAAAGUGAAAACGUGUUUUUAGAAAUGUUAGCAAAUGUAUUGAAAAUGAAAUAUCUAAUUUGCAAAAGUAUUCACACCAUUGAAGCAAUACUUUGUAGAAGCACCUUUGAUGGUGAUUAUAUCAGUGUCUUUUUGGAUAAGUCUCUAAGAGCUUUGCACACCUGAAUUGUCAUAGAUUUUCUAGCUGAUUUAAGUCAAAACUGUAACUAGAACAUUCAAUGUCUUCUUGGUAAGCAACUGCAGUGUAGAUUUGGCCUUGUGUUUUAGGUUAUUAUCUCGCUGAAAGGUGAAUUUGUGUCUGUUGAAAACCUUCCUUGUCAUUGUGGUUGAAUCUGUGCUUAAAAUACACUAUUCAAUUGAGGGACCUUACAGAUAUGUGUAUGUGUGGGGUACAGAUAUGGGGUAGUCAUUCAAAAAUCAUGUUAACCACUAUUAUUGAACAUGGAAUGAGUCCAUGCAACUUUGUUAAGCACAUAUUUACUCCUGAAUUUAUUUAGGCUUGCCAUAACAAAGAAUUUGAAUACUUAUUGACUGAAGCCAUUUCAGCUUUGAAUUGUUUGUUAAUUUCAAAAAUUCCACUUUGACAUUAUGGGGAUUGUGUGUAGAUCAGUGACACAAAAUCAACAUUUUAAAAACAGGCUGUAACACAACAAAAUGUGGAAAAAUUAAAAUGGUGUGAAUACUUUCUGAAGGCACAGUGCAUUACAGCCUUCUUCUAAAAUGGAUUAAAUAGUUUUUUCCCCUCGUAAAUAUACACACAAUACCCCAUAACGACAAAGGAAAAACAGGUUUAAAAAAAAUCACAUUUACUUAAGUAUUCAAUCUCUUUACUCAAUACUUUGCUGAAGCACCUUUGGCAGCGAUUACAGCCUCGAGUCUUCUUGGGUAUGACGCUAUAAGCUUGGCACACAUGUAUUUGUGGAGUUUCUCCCAUUUUUCUCUGCAGAUCCUCUCAAGCUCUGUCAGGUUGGAUGGGGAGUGUCGCAGCACAGCUAUUUUCAGGUCUCUCCAGAGAUUUUCGAUCGGGUUCAAGUCCAGGCUUUGGAUGGGCCACUCAAGUACAUUCAGAGACUUGUCCCGAAGCCACUCCUGCGUUGUCUUGGAUGUGUACUUAGGGUCAUUGUCCUGUUGGAAGGUGAACCUCUGCCCCAGUCUGAGGUCCUGAGCGCUCUGGAACAGGUUUCCAUCAAGUCUCAAUACUUACAGUAUGUAAAUAAGGUAUCUGUUUUUUGAUUUUUAAUAUAUUUGCAAAAAUUCAAAAAAUCUGUUUUCGCUUUGUCAUUAUGGGGUAUUGUGUGUAGAUUGAUGAUUCAUUUUUAAAAAAUCAAUUUUCGAAUAAGGCUGUAACGUAACAAAAUGUGGAAAAAGGGAAGGUGUCUAAAUACUUAAUAAUCAUAUUUCUGAUGAUUAUAUUUCUGAUUCUGAGCCUCAGCCUGAACCUAUCCAGGCUGUAUCACAUCCGGAUGUGAUUUGGCCGGGGUAGGCCAUCAUUGUAAAUAAUAAUUUUUCUUAAUUGACUUGCCUAGUUAAAUAAAGGUUACAUUUUUUUUUUAAUAUUAAAAACAAUACACCUCCGAGGCGCACUGCCUGUGACACCAACAAAUUAAACUGUGACAACGUUUGGAUUAUCAGGAUUAUAAACACAAAAUGUCAUCACUGGAUAAUAUACGCCAUUUAGCACACACUUUUAUUCAAAAGAGAGAGCAGGCCCUACAUAUAAAGCAAAAAUGCAACAUCAGCAAUGCACUCACCAGAUUUUGUUUGUAACAUGCAC